rnacentral:misc_RNA from 1 species
CUUGGUCAUUUAGAGGAAGUAAAAGUCGUAACAAGGUUUCCGUAGGUGAACCUGCGGAAGGAUCAUUAACGAGUUAGGGUCCCUCGUGGCCCGACCUCCCAACCCUUUGUCUACUUAACCACUGUUGCUUCGGCGAGCCCGUCUGUAAUGGACCGCCGGGGGGUACCUUGAUCGGCCCUCUGGUCAGCGCUCGUCGGUGGCCAAACUUUUAAAAUCUUAACCAAACGUGCCUCAGUCUAAGUAUUAUUUGUUAAAUAAAAGCAAAACUUUCAACAACGGAUCUCUUGGUUCUGGCAUCGAUGAAGAACGCAGCGAAAUGCGAUAAGUAAUGCGAAUUGCAGAAUUCAGUGAGUCAUCGAAUCUUUGAACGCACAUUGCGCCCUUUGGUAUUCCGAAGGGCAUGCCUGUUCGAGCGUCAUUAUCACCCCUCAAGCCUUCGGCUUGGUGUUGGACGGUUUGGUGGAGGCCCCCCCGCGGGGCCACCGCCCCUCCCAAAGACAAUGACGGCGGCCUCGUUGGACCCCCGGUACACUGAGUUCUUCACGGGACACGUAUCGGACACAUGGGUUUACGGGACACGGUCUGCCUCCCCUCAGGGAGAAUCUUUCUAAGGUUGACCUCGGAUCAGGUAGGGAUACCCGCUGAACUUAAGCAUAUCAAUAAGCGGAGGA